GGAUGACCUCGAUGUUUGUCCAGUGGAAAGACUUCAACAAUUUUGGGGGCUCGUCCGGGAUUGGAAAAAGGAGAAGGAAUUGGAUCUGGUCCAGUUAACCUACACAGGAUUCACAGGUUCCAGCGCCGGCGCAUCAGAAAGAAUGAACCACCACCAAGAGACACAGCAGAAAUGGACGGUAUGGGAACUCCUCGGUUGGCCGGACAGCGACACCGAGGAGGAGGAUAACCCCUACUGUCCUCUGCGGCACACCGGGCCUCCACAGCAUCCACCCCGGAGGAGACGUCGACAGAUGCGACGUAAGCAAACCUCCGUGUGUCCGCCCCAAGAAUUUCUUGGCGGGGUGCUGUGGGGGCAGGCGGAGUGGAAGGACGCGGCCGUGCCACCCAUGCUCACGUGUGGGGUAGUCCAGGUGCCCCAGCCCUGCCCGGUGCCAGCUACUAGGCGUUGGGCAACAACGCCGGUGGGGCCUAUGAGGGCUUUCCCUGAUGUAGGGAGAUGUGAGGACUGGUGGGGCUAUCGG
ensembl:lncRNA